rnacentral:lncRNA from 1 species
GGCUUCUUGAUCCUAUGUGUUGUAUUGAGUGUUGGUCACUGGUCUUUGGGAAGCUUGGACAGAAGUGGGGCAGCCAUGGAGCUGCUGACUGGGACUGGCCUGUGGCCCGUGGUCAUAGUCACAGUCAUCUUCAUAUUACUGGUGGACAUGUUGCACCGGUGCCAGCGCUGGACUUCUUGCUGCCCACCAGACCCUGUGCCAUGGCCUGUGCUGGGUAACCUGCUGCAGGUGGACCUGGAUAACAUGCCAUAUAACUUGUACAAGCUUCACAACCGCUAUGGUGACGUGUUCAGCCUGCAGAUGGGCUGGAACCACAUGGCCGUGAUCAACGGACUGAAGGUGUGGUCCUUGCUCCUUAUGGGCCUGAGUGGAAAGAGCAGAGGUGAUUCUCUGCGUCGACCCUGUGCAACUUCAGCCUGGGCAAGAAAUCACUGGAGCAGUGGGUGAUGGAAGAGGUUGGACACCUCUUUGAUGUCUUCACUGCCCAUGCUGAGGAGGCUGUAGACAAGAGAUUUGGAAAGAACACAUCUAGAAGUGUCCACCACAGUAAUAGGAGCCUGGAGAUUGACAUACAGCAAAAGGAAGUGAGAAGCUGACCAAGGUCAGGGCUUCUAGAAGCUGAGACCCUGGCCCUCUGCCCACAUGGAACAUCUGUGAGAUUUUCCAGGUUCUGAACACAUUCCCAAUUCUCCUACGCAUCCCAGGGUUGGCUGACAAAGUCUUCCCUGGGCAAAAGACAUUUCUCAUAAUGGUGGAUAAGCUGGUGACUGAGCACAAGAGGACCUGGAACUCGGACCAGCCGCCUCGAGACCUGACUGAUGCCUUUAUGGCUGAGAUGGAGAAGGCAAAGGGAAACCCUGAGAGUAGCUUCAAUGAUGCAAAUCUAUGUCUGGUUGUCCUUGACCUGCUGGGUGCUGCAACUGUGACCACCUCAACCACACUGUCCUGGGCCCUGCUGCUUAUGAUCCUGCAUCCGGAUGUGCAGUGUGAGCCUGGCUGGGGCUGUCAAGAAAGGAGGAGGAGGGUAGAGGCAAACUCCUUAAACUUACUUGGGACACUUGUAGAUCCCAGCAUUGAGUUAACCCAGACUGCAGCCAAGUACAACAGGAAAUCGAUGAGGUCAUUUGGUAUGUGUGGCUUCCAGAGAUGGCAGACCAGGUCUGCAUGCCCUUCACCAAUGCUGUCAUUCAUGAGGGCAUGACUCUCAUCUCCAACCUGUUCCGUGCUGAAGGAUGAGACUGUCUGGGAGAAGCCCCUUCGCUUCCAUCCUGAACACUUCCUGGAUGCCCAGGGCCACUUUGUGAAGCCUGAGGCCUUCAUGCCAUUCUCAGCAGGUGCCUCUAGGGUGCCUUCCUGCCUAUCUUUCCCUAGGGUGCCUUGGAGGGUGGAGCACCAAUCAGGUCCCAGACUGAGCCCUCUUCUACACAUAGGCCACAGAUCAUGCCUGGGGGAGCCCCUGGCCCUCAUGGAGCUCUUCCUCUUCUUCACCUGCCUCCUGCAGCGCUUUAGCUUCUCAAUGCCAGCUGGACAAUCCCUUCCCAGUGAUUAUGGCAUCUAUACAAUGCCAGUUACUCCAGCACCUACCAGCUCUGUGCAGUGGUUUGCUAGCAGGGGCAGUGGCUCCAGCCAUCAUCACAGAUUGUUCUGACUGAUGUCCAAUAAACAAGUUUUGUGUCUGAA